rnacentral:rRNA from 1 species
GACGAACGCUGGCGGCGUGCUUAACACAUGCAAGUCGAACGAUGAAGCCGGAGCUUGCUCUGGUGAAUUAGUGGCGAACGGGUGAGUAACACGUGAGUAACCUGCCCUUGACUCUGGGAUAACUGCGGGAAACUGUAGCUAAUACCGGAUACGACCCUCGGAGGCAUCUCCUGGGGGUGGAAAGAAUUUCGGUCAAGGAUGGACUCGCGGCCUAUCAGCUAGUUGGUGAGGUAACGGCUCACCAAGGCGACGACGGGUAGCCGGCCUGAGAGGGUGACCGGCCACACUGGGACUGAGACACGGCCCAGACUCCUACGGGAGGCAGCAGUGGGGAAUAUUGCACAAUGGGCGCAAGCCUGAUGCAGCAACGCCGCGUGAGGGAUGACGGCCUUCGGGUUGUAAACCUCUUUUAGUAGGGAAGAAGCGAAAGUGACGGUACCUGCAGAAAAAGAACAAACAGUAGUAUCAGCCGCCGCAGUAA